rnacentral:rRNA from 1 species
AUGCACUGGUCCGCCUGCUCAUUGCCAGUGCCUACCAAAUCUUGGACCUGUGGAUCGCCAAGACAUGAUGGUGGUGCCCAAGAAGAACAGCCUCGUGCUGCCCCAGCUAUCGUGCCCGGAACACCAAGUGUGGGUGUGCGAGGGGGGGGAGAUGCUCCUGCGAGUACUAGCGAUAAGGGGCAGCAGCAUACAUCCAUGCAUUGCCAGAAAACCUCUAUGCACAAGAAAGUGUGCCGUCUGAACUUUAUUUUCAUGCAUUGCAUGCAUGCUGUUCGGAGCAGUGCUGAUGCUGCUCAUGUCGUUGUAAGGCUUCCUCCUGUACCGGUGAAUAAAUAA